UACGAAGGGGGCUAGCGUUUCUCGGAAUUACUGGGCGUAAAGCGCACGUAGGCGGACUGUUAAGUCGGGGGUGAAAUCCUGGAGCUCAACUCCAGAACUGCCUUCGAAACUGAAAGUCUUGAGCAGAGGAGAGGUGAGUGGAAUUGCGAGUGUAGAGGUGAAAUUCGUAGAUAUUCGGAAGAACACCAGUGGCGAAGGCGGCUCGCUGGUCGCUUGCUGACGCUGAGACGAGAAAGCGUGGGGAGCAAACAGG
rnacentral:rRNA from 1 species